rnacentral:rRNA from 1 species
AAAUUGAAGUAGUUUGAUCAUGGCUCAGAUUGAACGCUGGCGGCAGGCCUAACACAUGCAA